rnacentral:rRNA from 1 species
GACGAACGCUGGCGGCGUGCUUAACACAUGCAAGUCGAACGGAAAGGCCCUGCUUUUGUGGGGUGCUCGAGUGGCGAACGGGUGAGUAACACGUGAGUAACCUGCCCUUGACUUUGGGAUAACUUCAGGAAACUGGGGCUAAUACCGGAUAGGAGCUCCUGCUGCAUGGUGGGGGUUGGAAAGUUUCGGCGGUUGGGGAUGGACUCGCGGCUUAUCAGCUUGUUGGUGGGGUAGUGGCUUACCAAGGCUUUGACGGGUAGCCGGCCUGAGAGGGUGACCGGCCACAUUGGGACUGAGAGACGGCCCAGACUCCUACGGGAGGCAGAGUGGGGAAUAUUGCACAAUGGGCGGAAGCCUGAUGCAGCAACGCCGCGUGCGGGAUGACGGCCUUCGGGUUGUAAACCGCUUUCGCCUGUGACGAAGCGUGAGUGACGGUAAUGGGUAAAGAAGCACCGGCUAACUACGUG